AACGAACGCUGGCGGCAGGCCUAACACAUGCAAGUCGAACGCCGUAGCAAUACGGAGUGGCAGACGGGUGAGUAACGCGUGGGAACAUACCCCUCGGUUCGGAAUAACUCAGGGAAACUUGAGGCUAAUACCGGGAUACGUCCGAGGUUUUAAUCGACCUUGGAGAAAGAUUUAUCGCCGGAGGAUUGGCCCGCGUCUGAUUAGCUUGUUGGUGAGGUAAUGGCUCACCAAGGCGACGANCAGUAGCUGGUCUGAGAGGAUGAUCAGCCACAUUGGGACUGAGACACGGCCCAAACUCCUACGGGAGGCAGCAGUGGGGAAUAUUGGACAAUGGGCGAAAGCCUGAUCCAGCCAUGCCGCGUGAGUGAUGAAGGCCUUAGGGUGUAAAGCUCUUUUACCCGGGAAGAUAAAUGACGAUACCGGGAGAAUAAGCCCCGGCUAACUUCGUGCCAGCAGCAGCCGCCGUAAG
rnacentral:rRNA from 1 species